UACGGAGGAUGCGAGCGUUAUCCGGAUUUAUUGGGUUUAAAGGGUGCGCAGGCGGAUUUUUAAGUCAGCGGUCAAAUCGUGGGGCUCAACCCCAUCCAGCCGUUGAAACUGGGGAUCUAGAGUGUGCAAGAGGUAUGCGGAAUGCGUGGUGUAGCGGUGAAAUGCAUAGAUAUCACGCAGAACCCCGAUUGCGAAGGCAGCAUACCGGUGCACAACUGACGCUCAGGCACGAAAGCGUGGGUAUCGAACAGG
rnacentral:rRNA from 1 species